UUAUGGCCACAUCACGUUGAAACAUUGGUUCCCGUACGAUCACAGAAGUUAACCAACGUCGAGCCUGGUCAGUAACUAGAUGGGUGCCCGCUUGGGAAGGGUUU